GACGAACGCUGGCGGCGUGCUUAACACAUGCAAGUCGAACGGUAAGGCCCUUUCGGGGGUACACGAGUGGCGAACGGGUGAGUAACACGUGGGUAAUCUGCCCUGCACUCUGGGAUAAGCCUGGGAAACUGGGUCUAAUACUGGAUAGGACUUCUGGCCGCAUGGUCUGGGAGUGGAAAGUUUUUCGGUGCAGGAUGUGCCCGCGGCCUACCAGCUUGUUGGUGGGGUAAUGGCCUACCAAGGCGCCGACGGGUAGCCGGCCUGAGAGGGUGAUCGGCCAUGCUGGGACUGAACCACGGCCCAGACGCCGACAGGAGGCAGCAGUGGGGAAUAUUGCACAAUGGGCGAAAGCCUGUUGUAGGGACGCCGCGUGGGGGAUGCCGGUCUUCGGAUUGUACACCCCUUUCAGUAGGGACGAAGCGCAAGUGACGGUACCUGCAGAAGAAGCACCGGCCAACUACGUGCCAGCAGCCGCCGUAAAAC
rnacentral:rRNA from 1 species